rnacentral:lncRNA from 1 species
CCGCCGCAGCUGAUUGCGGAAAUCCCGGAAGCCUUGGAUCAGCCCGUUCACGCCCUCCUCAGCCAUGAGUUCGUGAAACUCUUCCGACUCACGGAAGAGCUUCACUGCGUUUUGGGCGUUCUCCCGGGCCUCCAUCUCCCGGGCCUCGUGGUAAGCGGCCCUCCGCUCGAGGCCCCUCAGCUCCUGCUCGAGCUCCGAAUGUCGGAGGCGGGCAUUUCCCACCUCCUGCUCGCGGGAGGCCAACGCCUGCUCGGCCUUAGCCAAUCGAGCCUCCGCGGCGCGCAGCUCGGACCUUGCCAAUGCGUGCGCGCCCUUCUCUUCAUCGAGCUCGGCGGUC